CUUUUUGCGGCGUUGUUGGUGUCUGGAAGACCUAGCCGCCGCCUCUUCUUAGGGUUUCAGUGAUUUCUAACUUAUGCAUUCAUCAAUACCUAUAUUCAUUUCUUGAGUGCUUCUGUGAUAUUUUUCAAGAUUUGGUGCUUUUUGAAAGAUGGGAUCCAUCACUGUCUUCUCCAAACGAUUCAACAAAUAGGUUUUCCGAUUAAAUUCACGUAUUGAAGUAGAUUUUGAGCAAUUGUCAGAGGUGACGUUGUUUGCUGACACUAUUACAGUUCAACAAUUGGGAGUGAUGAUUUGGCAUACCAGAAAGGUCCUUUAGAGAGCUGAUCAUUCUUCCAAUCGAUUGCAAGCAGGUUCGUUUUCCAUAGAUUUGGUGUUAUUUUG